AUGCCAGGAGCUGCGUCUCCACACCCGCGUGACUGGCGUGUCUGGUUUCCUGUUCAAAUUCCCGAGGGACAACCUGGACCAACUCAGGAAGGCUGACUGACCCUGGACCGCCUGCUCUCCACCCUCACUGUGAACACCAGGUCACGCAGCCACGUGCCGCCGCACCUGCUUCUCACCGUCUCUCGUCUUUGAUAGCAGGCGUGGCUGGCCAAUGAAGAGGGAUGGCUCCUAAGCCAUGUGAGCGGAAGGCUGUUCAUAGCUCUGCUUUGUGGAAGGAGCUCUCUGACCUUCCAAAGAGGCUGGAGAACCUCCCAGGGAAAAGAAGUCUGAGAAGCUCCAGCCAGAGGAACAGUAAGGUGUCCAGUCCUUACGAAGCAGACGAAGGACAGCAGUCUCAGAGGGAAACAUCUAAGAUUUCUGGAUCCUUCUUUAGAUGCAGACUCACAGGAAUUCAUACAGCAAGAGGACAGGCUGCUUCUGCAGAAGGGCCUGCAACUGGGCAGACAACCAGGACCUACCCCUCCACCCUGGCCCGCACACAGGGACCUCGUCUCCUAGAAGACUGUCUGCUGGGAACCUUGUGUAAAGUACUGUUAAGAACUUACUUAGUACUCUGCUAUUCAUAGAGUGUGUUCAGAAUGCUGCUUUUAAUCCUCAUAAUUUCCUGAACUAAGCAUUAUUCCCAUUUUAAAAACAGAUGUGCCUGGGUCAGGAUCACAUACACAUGUCGUGUUUUAACUCCCAAGUCCAGUGUUCUUUGACUCACAUUAUGUAUACAGUUGACCCUUGAACAUGGGUUUGAACUGCAUGGGUCCACAUAUAUGUGGACUUCUUUCAGUAUAAAUACAGUACCUGUAUUUAAAGUACGGAGAGAAGCCUGCGUUUGACCAGAGGUCACAAACUGUGGAAUAAGAAACUAAAGGUUUGAGCCUUGAUUCUUUCCCAGCUGUUCCGGGUUCCUACCCACACACCUUUCUCUUUUAAUGCUGAAGAUGAAUGAAAAAGGUGACACAUU